rnacentral:lncRNA from 1 species
CGCGGCGGCAGAGAUAGAGAGCUCAAGACGAUGAUGCGAUGAUCAAAAGGAUUGCAACCAUAAUGAUGGAGGCCGGCUGCGACAGGACUGAGCUGUCUUCUCCCAGUUUGCUCUCAUCAAUGUCAAGUCUUCCCUGACAGACAGAGUGAUGUUUCCUGCUGGAGAGGCUGUCUGCGUUGAAUUCAGGCCUCAUGCUCCUGCUACAGUGGUCUGACUCAGUAGAGUCUACAGUUAUCGAGCUGCCUUGUGGCCUUGCUGCAUGAGAACCGAGCGAUUAAGGAAUCCUUUCCAGCUAAUCACCCUGGACUCCAGCACUUCCGCUGCGCUGAUUACUGAGGAAAUCAUUAGAAGAAAAAAGUGCCUGGAUCUUUCAUCGUGGCCAGCCCGACUCCAGGGAGGUCAGUGAGGGGUGUGUUUGAUAGGCCAUUUAGUCUUGCUGCUCCUAUUAUUCCAGCAUUUCCUCUAUCUGCACGCUGGAUGUGGAUGUCUUGCCUCCCCCAGACCCUAAUCAUUCCCAUACUGGUGUCUUGGAGUUUUGAGUUCACCCCAGACCUUCGUCUUCGUAGGGUUAGAGGGGCUCCUAGCUCCUAUCUCGCCCUCUCUUCCUCCCUCUUAGUCACCCCAUCCCCCCAAAACUGUCUGAUCCCAAGCACCAUGCAGCCUCUCAUGGGUACUAUCACAGAUGGCACUAACGACGUGGUCCCGAGCAGAGGAGGCGGUUCGCUGCUAGACUGGUGACAUAUGCUCGGUCGCAGGACGAUCAGCCGAGCAGAACACUGCCCAGACGUCCAAAAAGACAAUUCCCCCCCCACACACACACACACACACCCAAACACAACACAGCCCCCUCUAAAACAGACACUCACUGUCUUCUACUUCAGCCAGUGUUUUGUUUUGUUUAUCAUGGACCAGGCCC